CCUACGGGCGGCAGCAGUGGGGAAUAUUGCGCAAUGGGCGAAAGCCUGACGCGGCGACGCCGCGUGAGGGAUGAAGGUCUUCGGAUCGUAAACCUCUGUCAGCAGGGAAGAACGGUCAGUGGGCUAAGCAGCAGUGAAUUGACGGUACCGGCAAAGGAAGCACCGGCUAACUCCGUGCCAGCAGCCGCGGUAAUACGGAGGGUGCGAGCGUUAAUCGGAAUGACUGGGCGGAAAGCGCGCGUAGGCGGUAUGUCAAGUCAAGGGUGAAAUCCCCGCGCUCACCGUGGGAACUGCCUUUGACACUGGCAAACUGGAGUGUGUGAGAGGAUAUUGGAAUUCCCGGUGUAGCC
rnacentral:rRNA from 1 species